UACGUAGGGGGCUAGCGUUGUCCGGAAUCAUUGGGCGUAAAGCGCGUGUAGGCGGUCCGGUAAGUCCGCUGUGAAAGUCGGGGGCUCAACCCUCGGAUGCCGGUGGAUACUGUCGGGCUUGAGUACGGAAGAGGCGAGUGGAAUUCCUGGUGUAGCGGUGAAAUGCGCAGAUAUCAGGAGGAACACCAAUUGCGAAGGCAGCUUGCUGGGCCGACCCUGACGCUAAGGCACGAAAGCGUGGGGAGCGAACAGG
rnacentral:rRNA from 1 species